AUCGUAUUAAACCAAGAAGGAUCACACAAACUUCUCUAAUAAGGGAAUUUCUUGAUGUUUAGGAGAUGAAGACCGUCCUUGGAGAUGAUAACGGUUCUUGGGAUGUAAUUGAAAAUCCCAUGAAGACGAGUUAAAUAUAAUUUGCGAAGCUAGUAUUUUGUGAAAGCAGGGAGUUUAGGACUUGCUAUGGUUCAAGGUUUUCAAAUUCGCCAUGUCCCUCUAUGUCUUAAUCUUUUAUGUUGUUUUACACAAUGUUAUAACGCCUAUGCUUGUUAAAAAAACAAGGUUUGUCCUUUUUGUGAUUGCUUAAUUUAGAAACUAAGCGAAAAAACGUAUUCUACAAGUAUCAUACAAGUUAAUCAAUAUUAAAGCCUACUAUUAUUAUAAAUUUAAAUGAUUACAUGGUAGUUUUAAUCAGUUAACUUCCAGUUAUAGUUAUGUAUAUCAGAUAUGUGGCUUUUUAUUUAAAAUAAUUUCAGCACACUUGUAAUUCUCUUGUGUUUGAGUAAUUUACUAAUAACUAUGAUGCAAUCGAGAUUACUUUUAAAAAAUUUCAAAACUUAUCAAGAACUUUGACAUCAAACUGUUAAAGUACGUGUUAGGGCCGCUUUUACAAACGUCCGUAAACCUUAUAACCGCGAAUAAAUUUCGAAAAAUAGUUGUUUAAAUUUAGCCUUAAGGGACUUAAAAAUUGGACUAUUGUCAAAGGUUACAAGCAAAAUUUUGAUAUUUUUUUGCUUUUCUGAACAGUCUGUAGACAAGUAAUCAAACCAACAAAACUGAUGUAUUUAUACAGACUGAUCCGGAAAUACUGUGUCUGUUAGCAAUCUGAAUUUAAAUUUUAAAGGAUACCAAUAGUGUACACUUUCAGGUAGCAAUUCAAUAAUUUAAUCUGAUGCCAACAUACUCAGUUUCUCUGGAUCAUUGUGUAUAUUUAGACAAUGUAUUUACAUAUAUUAUUACAUCUGAGUAUGUUUAUGAAGAACAAUUCGAGUUAAAUUAAUUUUGCCUAUACAUUCCAGCAUGUUAUUAUUUUUUUAAUAAAUUUUUAUUGGAAAGACUUUGUUUCAUUUUAUUAAGCGAUGUUAAAUGUUUUUGUGCUAUUGCAACUGUUACAGAUGCUUUUUUAUUAAAAUGUCUCGUAACAGCGCAUGAGUACAGAAACAUUUAACAUUUAUAAUUCUUUAAAUUUGGAAAAUAAAUAAAAUGUCCUGUUUGAAUUUCCCGCUAUUAUUGAAUUAGUUCGUUCUCUCAGGGUUAGGUGGCGCUUUCGCGAAAAAACCAGGGGUAGACAGAGAGAUUCGCUUCUUCCUCUCUCUUAUUCUAUGAUUCUAUUCAACAUUAUUCUUCGUGGCUGCAAACGUCGAAUGUGGGUGAAGUGUGUUUUCGUCUGUGUUUAUUUUAUGACUAUGGAAGUGGUUAGUUAUUUCUUUUCUCUUUUUCUGGAUUUUCUUAUAGUUUUUUUAGUCAGUAUUCAAGCAAGUCCAGCCUGGCAGAGAAACAAUCACAUCGUUUUUCCGAACUCGCUAGAAGAGCAUGAAACUUUCAUUGCUCCAAAGUGUAGCGGUAACAAAACAUUUUGUGAGGACGUCGGACAUUACCCCAAAAAUAAAUUUAGCGUAAUAUUAGAAAAUACCACAUACGGGGAAGAUUAUUUCAUGCCGCAAAGCACCGCCGAGGAAGAAUCUAUCAAAAAUCGAUUGUACGGAGUAACUGAAUAUUACAUCUGCAAUUCUCACGUCCAAACGCAAUAUCCCAAAGUGGCGCAAAACGUCAGAAACGAGUGGAAAUAUGUUUACAAUUUUGAUAACUACAAGCAAGGCGUAAGGACAGAAGAAUGUGUAGCUGAAACAGCUUGCAGAUCAUUCCAGGGAACGCCGCGGGAAGUUAGGACGAAGUGUAUGCAAAAGUACAGCGAUAUGUUGCUGUUGGUUGCCGAUGAAUACGGAAAACCUGUGUGGGAUUUAUUCUGGUUUCCUUCCGCCUGUGUCUGUGCAUACGAACCAAUUAUUAAUUUUAACCGAGUUUAGGAGAGUUUGCUGACAACUAAUUUUCCUUAAAUUGCGAUCAAUAGACGUGUCUUUGAAGCUGAAAUGUUAUACCAUUUCCCGGUACAAUAAAACAUUGAUUCUAUA